rnacentral:lncRNA from 10 species
GUGAACUUCCCGGCAGCCCCUCCCAUCACAGGCUCAGAGACCCAGGAGGAAAAAGUGGUUUAGUGGGCUGGGCCCAAGGACCCUGUGCUUUGUGCAGCCUAAGGACUUGGUGCCCUCUGUCCCAGCUGCUCCAGCCAUGGCUGAAAGGGGCCAAUGUAUAGCUCAGGCUGUGGCUUCAGAGGGUGGAAGCCCCAAGCCUUGGCAGCUUCCGUGUGCUGUUGAGCAUGUGGGUGCACAGAAGUCAAGAAUUGAGGUUUGAGAACCUCUGCCUAGGUUUCAGAAGAUGUAUGGAAAUUCCUGGAUGCCCAGGCAAAAGUUUACUGAAGGGGCAGGGCCCUCAUGGAGAAACUUUGCUAGGGCAGUGCAGAAGGGAAAUGUGGGGUCAGAGCCCUCACACAGGGUCCCUACUGGGGCACCACUUAGUGGAGCUGUGAGAAGAGGGCCACUGCCCUCCAGAUCCCAGAAUGGUAGAUCCACUGACAGCUUGCACUAUGCAUCUGGAAAAGCCACAGAUACUCAACACCAGCCUGUGAAAGCAGUGAGGAGUGAGUCUGUACCCUGUAAAGCCACAGGGGUGGAGCUGCCCAAGACAAUGUGAACCCCGCUUUCGCAUCAGCAUGACCUGGAUGUGAGACCUGGAGUCAAAGGAGAUCAUUUUAAAGGAGCUUUAAGAUUUGACUGCCCUGCUGGAUUUCAGACUUGCAUGGGCCCUGUAACCCCUUUGUUUUGGCCAAUUUAUCCCAUUUGGAACGGCUGUAUUUACCUAAUACCUGUACCCUAAUUGUAUCUAGGAAGUAACUAGCUUGCUUUUGAUUUUAUAGGCUCAUAGGCAGAAGGGACUUGCCUUGUUUCAGAUGCUACUUUGGACUGUGGACUUUUGGGUUAAUGCUGAAAUGAGUUAAGACUUUGGGGGACUGUUGGGAAGGCAUGAUUGGUUUUGAAAUGUGAGGACAUGAGAUUUGGAGGGGUCAAGGGUGGAAUGAUAUGGUUUGGCUGUGUCCCCACCAAAAUCUCAACUUGAAUUAUAUCUCCCAGAAUUCCCAUGUGUUGUGGGAGGAACCCAGGAGGAGGUAAUUGAAUCACGGGGGCCAGUCUUUCCUGUGCUAGUCUCAUGAUCUUGAAUAAGUCUCACGAGAUCUGAUGGGUUUUCCAGGGGUUUCCCCUUUUGCUUCUUCCUCAUUUUCUCUUGCGGCUGCCAUGUAAGAAGAGCCUUUCACCUCCCGCCAUGAUUCUGAGGCCUCCUCAGCCAUGUGGAACUGUGAUACUGGGCAAAGCAUCCAGAGCUUCAGAGCUGUUUGCCUUCCAAGAGAGCGCUGGCCCUCCUCCUCCACAAAGUUCCUGUGGUUUGUGCUUGGAAGACUCCUCCUCUGAUAGACCCGUGACAGCCCACAGCAGGAUAAAAGGACUCAGCAGGACACUGCAAAUAUCUAUUGAAACGUCCACUGACUGAUGAUAAAAACAAAGGCUUUUUUUAUUGAGGCUACAAAGAAGAAAAUGAGUGAAUAAGUCUCAUGAGAUCUGAUGGCUUUAAAGACGGGACUCUCCCUGCACAACCCUCUCUUUUCCUGCUGUCAUCCACAUAAGAUAUGGCUUGCUCAUCCUGGCCUUCCACCAUGAUUGUGAGGCCUCCCCAGUCAUGUGGAACUGUAAGUCCAUUAAGCCUCUUUCUCUUGUAAAUUGCCCAGUCUUGGAUAUGUCUUUAUCACCAGCAUGAAAACAGACCAAUACAGUAAGUUGGUACUGGGAGUGGGGUGCUGCUGAAAAGAUACCAGAAAAUGAGGAAGCAACUUUGGAACUGGGUAACAGGCAGAGGUUG